AGAGUUUGAUCCUGGCUCAGGACGAACGCUGGCGGCGUGCUUAACACAUGCAAGUCGAACGAUGAACCACUUCGGUGGGGAUUAGUGGCGAACGGGUGAGUAACACGUGGGCAAUCUGCCCUUCACUCUGGGACAAGCCCUGGAAACGGGGUCUAAUACCGGAUAUCACUGCCGCAGGCAUCUGCGGUGGUUGAAAGCUCCGGCGGUGAAGGAUGAGCCCGCGGCCUAUCAGCUUGUUGGUGAGGUAACGGCUCACCAAGGCGACGACGGGUAGCCGGCCUGAGAGGGCGACCGGCCACACUGGGACUGAGACACGGCCCAGACUCCUACGGGAGGCAGCAGUGGGGAAUAUUGCACAAUGGGCGCAAGCCUGAUGCAGCGACGCCGCGUGAGGGAUGACGGCCUUCGGGUUGUAAACCUCUUUCAGCAGGGAAGAAGCGCAAGUGACGGUACCUGCAGAAGAAGCGCCGGCUAACUACGUGCCAGCCGCCGCGGUAAUAC
rnacentral:rRNA from 1 species